rnacentral:lncRNA from 1 species
UAAAGAGUCAUAUCUGAGGCAUUCUACACUAAUCAGAACCACGUCUCAAGGUUUAUAAAGACAAUUUCCAAGAUGUAACAACAAAAAUAAAAAUGUAGUAGAGUUAUCUUUGUUUUAUAAUAGAGCCAUUAAAAGGAUAAGGGGCAAGGAUUAUUAAAUUGAAUAAAAGCUAGUCCGGAGUUUGUUUCAAACAUUCCGAAACCAUAUUUGGAAGCAAAAAAGUUACAUUGAAAUUAUCAUAUCCUUUGCAAGUUGUAAAGGAUAGAUUUAGUCUCGCCAACUUUUUCAAGCUGCUUAACACGUUCUUUAAUUUGGGACACUGUUAAUGGAAAUUUAUCCGUAUUCACUGCUGACAAUUCAAAGUACUGGUAUCCAUCACCAAGAAUGCUGCAUGGAACA